rnacentral:lncRNA from 1 species
GUCAUACAUACCAAUACACAGCCUUGCCCACUUCCAACCCCAGUUUGACCAACUUUGUCCAAUCAAAUUCACACCUGAUCCUCCCACAUACACUGGUCUCCAACAACAAGCCGUUGCCUUCUGGGAGUAACAAACAUGUUGGCAUGGCUUUCUUGACGAGCCACAACACUCGUUUAAGUCUCCACCCCACAAAGGUUAUCAAAGAGAAGAAGAACACAAACAAUUAAUUUCUAUCAUAAAUGUUCGCAAAAGACCAACAUCAUCCACGCAUAUUUGAGAAAAAUGAUCUCAACGUUUCAAUAG